UGGGGGAUAUUGCACAAUGGGCGAAAGCCUGAUGCAGCGACGCCGCGUGGGGGACGAAGGCCUUCGGGUUGUAAACUUCUUUUGCUCUGAACAAGGCGCACCAUGGGGUGUGUUGAGUGUAGGGGUUGAUUAGCGCCGGCUAACUACGUGCCAGCAGCCGCGGUAAUACGUAGGGCGCGAGCGUUGUCCGGAAUUAUUGGGCGUAAAGGGCUUGUAGGUGGCUGGUUGCGUCUGUCGUGAAAGCUCAUGGCUUAACUGUGGGUUUGCGGUGGGUACGGGCUGGCUUGAGUGCAGUAGGGGAGGCUGGAAUUCCUGGUGUAGCGGUGGAAUGCGCAGAUAUCAGGAGGAAUACCGGUGGCGAAGGCGGGUCUCUGGGCUGUUACUGACACUGAGGAGCGAAAGCAUGGGGAGCGAACAGG
rnacentral:rRNA from 1 species